UGAUAAACUACUUUACUCAGUUAAGACUUGUUCAGAUUUCAUAUAAUUUAUCGAUUUGUAGAACGUACAUAAAUAUUCAAUGACUAAUAUUCAAUCGAAUAUUGACAGUCCAGAGCCGACUAUGAAUGUGUCUGGAAGUGAGCUGACAAGUGAAGCGAGGUGGACGUCACCAAAAAAUUUCGAUUAUUUUACACUCUGAACAGAACACCCCCUCUAGUGCUUUUGUUACUGUUAGAAGAUGACCUAUCUUGCCGAUAAACGCAGUAUGGUUCGUCGAAGAGUUGAUUUACGGUGGUAUUAUUGUUGAGCCAGGUUUCGGUGAAGGCAUAGACGUCGUAGCAGCCAUCGCUAAGGGCCAAAUGAUAAUCGGCAAGAGAACUAUUGAUCCCGCCGACGUUCUGGUAGUAUAUCAAUACAUUCGAAGAUUCUUGAACCGCACGCCUAUCAUUUGAAACAUCCGGUAACAUGGAGUUGAACUGGCGUGGAGAUGGUGUAGCAAUACUGGAAAUCGGAAUGCUCUCAGGUACAGAAGAUACUGGUAACUGAUUGUACUUGCCGGUUAUAGGAUUUCGGAAGACCCCGUCUCCCAACUCAGACGCAGGACCGGGACGGCUGUUGGUCGCUGGCAGCGGAACUGGGGACUCCCAAAAUGCUUUUGUCGGUGCGUCCUGGUGGAAGGGUCACGUGCAUCGUGGCUGCCGAAUUUAGCUCAUUGGUUCCGGAGCAGAGGUAGGUGUCGAUAACGGGAAGAUUCCGCAAACAGGAGAAACUGUGACGGUUGGAGUAUUUAGCAGCGGCUUCCACAUGUUUUUUGAGCUGAUAUCCUCGAAUUCCCGAAAUAGAAGAACCAUACACGCUUAGAUCAGUUUACCUAUUUAUAGGUACUUUAAUCACCCAUAUUUGGGUAUUACAAAAAUUACUCAUAAUAUGGGUGAAAUAUACUGAGAAAAUCAGUCAAUUUCACCGAUAUUGUUGAUAAUAUGACUUAACCUAUAAAUGAGUAAAAUUAUUUACUCAUAUUUGGAUGAAAAAAUAAACAUUUGCAUCCUAACCACGACCAGAUCAAACAAAUCACAGUUUUGAAGUGCUUGUCAUAUUGUCCCUGAAAUUUAUAAUUUUGGAGUUUUGGCCAAGUGAAAUCAGGAUCAGCUUCACUCCAACGCAGUGAAGAGUAAGAACGUGUACGAUAAACCGCUUCUCCACCGUCAACGGAUACGGAAACCCGUCGAAAUAGCAGCCGAUAAUGCACGCACCCGGUCUAUAGGAACGACAGAAAUCGUGGAACUGUGCAAGUCGAAUCUUGCUCGGAAGUUCAGUCUCAUUUGUGCCGGAACUGGGAAAAUUCGGCAUGCAUUCAGCUGGCGGUCAGCGGUGAAUUCCCGACGGUAUCCGAAGAAGUGCAGUUCCUACUGUUCACCAUUUGUUGUCACCAGCAAGUUUUCCGAAAUCUCAUUACGGAAACCGAUGACCACAGCAAAGCAAUUUCAAACAGAAACUUUUUCCGCAAUUGGCAACUUGAUUUUUGAGCGGCAAUAACGACCCAAGAAGCAGUGUAGAAUUCACUUCAGACUACAUCCCUUCAGCCCUCUCGGUCUUCCCAUAGUCCCUAUAAGAACGAAUCAAUCGAAUAUGAUGACGCUAGUGGAGAAUUCACAUCAAAUGACCCCGAAUCCUCUCGGAACGUUGCUGCUUUUGAACCACAAUGCGAAACCUGUUAAUAAGCUGCCACCGUACCCGCCUUUUCGUGCUCAGCUGCAGCCGUAAGAACACCGGAUGUGGAACUGCGAAGUGUUGGACAUCCGUUCUAUCCAUGCAACAGAGGGGAAGUUCCGGCAGUACGUCGAUGAUUGCAGCAAUCCAAAUAAAUGCAGCUACUGUGUUCCCGAAUUUAAAAGCGAUACGUUCAUAUUUCGGUCCGCUUAAA